GCAGGAAGUAGGAGUGUUGUGAGCAGUCUUUGACCAGACACACCACUCCACAGCCCACAUUCCUCCAGCCCUGAUGUCCAGCCCUUUCACCGGCAGGACUUCAUGUGUGAUGACUUGGACUGAUAACCGGGCGGUGACUUCACUUUGAAAGGUGUGAAUGUGUCUCUAGUGUCUCUGAGGAGUUAGACUGACCUUACACUGGGCUCCCAGGAGAGUGAAGAGCAAGGCAUUC